AACGUAGGAGACAAACGUUAUCCGGAGUUACUGGGCGUAAAGGGCGUGUAGGCGGUUUGUUAAGUCUGGCGUGAAAGCUCUCGGCUAAACCGGGAGAGGUCGUUGGAUACUGGCAAACUAGAGGACGGUAGAGGCGUGUGGAAUUCCGGGUGUAGUGGUGAAAUGCGUAGAGAUCCGGAGGAACACCAGUGGCGAAGGCGACACGCUGGGCCGUACCUGACGCUAAAGCGCGACAGCAUGGAGAGCAAACGGG
rnacentral:rRNA from 1 species